CGCAGGCGAGCGUUGGCGCUCAGCUGCUCCUCAUAAGGGCGGCCUGCCCGGAUCGUCACCGGGGCCUGCGACCA
rnacentral:tRNA from 1 species